ensembl:lncRNA
GUUGAUAUUUUAUUUUUUCAAAUUUGUGUUCUCGCCAUUUUCCCUGCCGCGAAUCACGGUGAAAAAAAUUGUGCAGUUAUUAAUCCCGCGCUUAGUGACUGCUGCUGCACCUGGUCGUCAGUCAGACAGAAUCAGACCGCUAACUCUGGUAAUGCGCAUGUAAAAGAAACAAUACGUGUAUCACUUGUUCGUUUGAUUUUCAACUUAAAAUAAAAACAAAGCAAUGUUACAUGAACCGCUCAUCUGUUUUUCAAAUUAAAAUAAUUAAUGACAAAAAAUUUGUUUAUGUUUUUUAAUUUUCCCGCCUUGUGUUAGCUUUUCUGCUUAAGUGAAAGACCAUGUAUAUAGCCAGAUAGCGACUACCAUUUCCUUAUAUUUUCACCGUCAGUAAAUAAAAAUGAUGAUCAGCUGCAGUAUUUACUUUAAAACUUGUUCACAUUUCAUAUUGACAUUUGACAGAACAGAAAGAAAGUCUGGGUUUUAAAUGUGUGUAUUAUUUUUUAAACAUUUCUGUUUGUUUGUAGGACAUUGGACGUGUCACAAGGCAAAUUAAACAGCUGAGAGGAGGGCUUAAAGAGACUCCAGUGUGGACAGUGCUUACCAAGCGACCUGAAACUGCAGCCUUGAUUUUUCCAAGUGAAGGAACAGGCGACAUUUGUCCUGAGGUACAUAUUUGCCAGUGACCUCAGUUAGGAUUUGUACUUCUACCAUUUUCUUAAAAAAUGCACCUUGUUGAGAAUUUUCAUGCUUUAUACAAAAUAAAUGUGGUAUUGGCAUUCUCAAAUUUGGCGUAUUAACAGGUGUCUCUGGUCCUUAACCCCUGCGGAUGGGGGGGGGGGGAUACUAUAUAUUGAAUUUAAAAUUGUUCCAACCUGUUUGACACCUUUAUCCUAUUACAGAUAUUUCUUCAACACAUCAGUUGGCCAAAAGAGUAGGAAGAUGAAGAUGAUGAUUGGUCUGCUGAAACCAAAAGCCGCAUUAAGGGGUAUCUUCAGGAGUUCAUUAAAAAUGGAAUGGCAGGUGAAUUGAUGAAUUUAGCCAAAUUUUGGACUGGAUGGGAGAUUUUACCGAAGAGCCUGUCUGUGGAGAUCGUCAGAAGCAGCUAUCCCACAGCCUCCACCUGCUACGAGACCUUAAAAAUUCCAGGUCAUUACAGAGUCUACAGAUCUUUCACAUGUGAUCUCCUUGCCUGUAUUCAGACUUGUCAUACAGGAUUUGGGCUCCUGUGAAUUCUUGGGUUUGUUUUAUGUUCAUAAAAAAGGUUUUGUUAGACCAGGAAGUUUGUUGUGGCCUUGAAUGUCACGUGUUUUACUGUUUUUGUUAAAAAAAAAAACACACAUUGAGAUUUUGCUCUCAAAUAAACCACUGAUGAAACUGAUCCCACUGGCCUCUUAACAUUUUUUUUUCCUUUAUUGUGGAAAACUAUGUUCACAAAACUCAACAGCUGCAAUGUAAACAUCAGAGCCAAAGGAGUCUGAUUCAGCUCUUGGGUCAACUGCACUUCUUAAAGCUGCCAUUUGUUCAUCUGUCAGUGAGCAGUUGAUGUUUGGUACAACGACGUCUGAAUGGUCCUGAUGAGGAAGUCCACUCUCCUCCCACUCAAUAUGUGGAAUCUCCAUGCCCUGAGGUAUGCAAGCCACAGAAAUAAAUAAAUGGUAAAGGGCAAACAAACCAACAUCACAAAGUUAUAUAUAUUUUUGUAUAUACAGUGAUCCCUUGAUUAUCGCGGGGGUUACGUUCCAAAUAGAACCCGUGAUAAGCAAAACCCGUGAAGUAGAAACCUUUAUUAUUUUUACAAUUAUACAAUGAAAUACAUUAUUAUACAUUGAAAAGAAAGAACAAACCAUUUAACAGGCUAAA